UAGCUUUGACAGCUUAUAAAGUAAAAUUGGAAAGAUACAGAGAAGAUUAGCUUGCCCUCCGUGCAAGGCAGACAGGCAUAUUCCUGAUGCAUUCUAUAUUGUU